ensembl:snoRNA SNORA62 Small nucleolar RNA SNORA62/SNORA6 family
GGUAUAUAUUGUUAGAGCUUGGAGCUAAGGUCACAAACUAGCAGAUGAACACUCACAAGUGUAGGUAGUGUGCUACACGAGUGGCAGGUUUUUGCUAACACUCCACUCUGGCCUGUGAGUGGAGUUUGAUAGUAACCUUUGCUACAAGU